UACGGAGGGUGCAGGCGUUAUCCGGAUUCACUGGGUUUAAAGGGUGCGUAGGCGGGCAGGUAAGUCCGUGGUGAAAUCUCUGAGCUUAACUCAGAAACUGCCAUGGAUACUAUUUGUCUUGAAUAUUGUGGAGGUAAGCGGAAUAUGUCAUGUAGCGGUGAAAUGCUUAGAUAUGACAUAGAACACCAAUUGCGAAGGCAGCUUACUACACAGUUAUUGACGCUGAGGCACGAAAGCGUGGGGAUCAAACAGG
rnacentral:rRNA from 1 species